rnacentral:rRNA from 1 species
UACGAAGGGGGCUAGCGUUGUUCGGAUUUACUGGGCGUAAAGGGCGCGCAGGCGGCUUAUUUUGUCAGGCGUGAAAGCCCCGGGCUUAACCUGGGAACUGCGUUUGAUACGGAUGGGCUAGAGUUCGGGAGAGGAGAGUGGAAUUCCCAGUGUAGAGGUGAAAUUCGUAGAUAUUGGGAAGAACACCGGUGGCGAAGGCGGCUCUCUGGACCGAUACUGACGCUGAGGCGCGAAAGCGUGGGGAGCAAACAGG